UGAUUUGUGAUUACUUGAGGCUGAUAUGUUGAAGGUAGGUCUUGGCCGAAUAAAAUGAGUUUUGAAUGGUGAAAAUUGGUUAAUAAAUGGCCUAGGUUUUGCGGAAAUUCUAGGUGAAUUCAUGUGAUAGUUUGAUGAUUGAAUUGUUGAAUGAAUUGAUGGUGAGUUUGAGGAUUGUGUUUGUAUGUUGUGGACCUUAAGCCCUGGGUAGGCUCUGUCCAGCCCCUCCCAUGUCCCGGAUUGGCUUUCGUUUAGUAGUGUUAGUAGGUAUUAGUUCAACGGAAACUAGUUAGGCGUUUUUGCAGAAAACUGUUCUGCAAAACAGCCAUGUUGCAGAGGCUAUAUCUUGGGCUAUAUAACUCGAAAUCAAGUUCCGUUUGUUGGUACGAAAACUUUAAGAUGUUAACUAUAAUUGUCUAGUUUUACGUUUUCUCUAAAUCUGCCUCUAAACCGCUCAUAUAAGGCCGAACAUUUUGGUGUGUAAUCUGCUCUGCUGUUUUGGACAGCCCAACGUAUAAAAUUCCAGGCUUGAUUCCGACACCUUCGGGUGCGAAUUUCAUUCCGAGACCUGAACAAAAGUUGUAGGCGACAUUCUAAACUUUAAGAAUGUCAAUUUUGUUUAGGGGUCAGACUAUUUUAAGUAAGCGGUUUCGAUAGCCGAAGUUGGCUAGAAACAUAAUUUUGGAUAAGUUAAAAAUAGCUAGAAUUUUAUUAAUUCUUGCUAUUAUUAUAUUUGCAUAGAUCGGACGAGCGACUAUCGACGAGGCUUGAGAGAAAAAAAACGGAUCGAGAUAUCGUCAUUCUUAUUUGAAGAGUUUGGAUAGCAAGUGGGAUAGCAUGAUAUUAUUUGGAAACUCAAGCUUCCGAAGUUUUAAUUCUCGAAAGUCAUUUGCACAAGAAGUGAAAGAAGGUUUUCAUUCUAGCGGUCCGCAGUAGUCUAGAUGUUUUUUUUUCUAUGUAUUUGUCUAGCGCAUUUUAACUCUGAUAUUUUUGUAAAAUGGGGUCACAUGUAUUUUGAUAUAUGAAAAAUGAUUUGAUUUGCGAAAAAUUUACACA